rnacentral:rRNA from 1 species
GAGUGGCGGACGGGUGAGUAACACGUAGGUAACCUGCCCAGAAGUGGGGGACAACAUUUGGAAACAGAUGCUAAUACCGCAUAACAGCGUUGUUCGCAUGAACAACGCUUAAAAGAUGGCUUCUCGCUAUCACUUCUGGAUGGACCUGCGGUGCAUUAGCUUGUUGGUGGGGUAACGGCCUACCAAGGCGAUGAUGCAUAGCCGAGUUGAGAGACUGAUCGGCCACAAUGGGACUGAGACACGGCCCAUACUCCUACGGGAGGCAGCAGUAGGGAAUCUUCCACAAUGGGCGCAAGCCUGAUGGAGCAACACCGCGUGAGUGAAGAAGGGUUUCGGCUCGUAAAGCUCUGUUGUUAAAGAAGAACACGUAUGAGAGUAACUGUUCAUACGUUGACGGUAUUUAACCAGAAAGUCACGGCUAACUACGUGCCAGCAGCCGCGGUAAUACGUAGGUGGCAAGCGUUAUCCGGAUUUAUUGGGCGUAAAGAGAGUGCAGGCGGUUUUCUAAGUCUGAUGUGAAAGCCUUCGGCUUAACUGGAGAAGUGCAUCGGAAACUGGAUAACUUGAGUGCAGAAGAGGGUAGUGGAACUUCAUGUGUAGCGGUGGAAUGCGUAGAUAUAUGGAAGAACA